rnacentral:rRNA from 1 species
AGAGUUUGAUCCUGGCUCAGAACGAACGCUGGCGGCAGGCCUAAUACAUGCAAGUCGAACGCUCCAGCAAUGGAGAGUGGCAGACGGGUGAGUAACGCGUGGGAACCUUCCCAGUGGUACGGAAUAGCUCAGGGAAACUUGAGGUAAUACCGUAUACGCCCUUCGGGGGAAAGAUUUAUCGCCAUUGGAUGGGCCCGCGUCGGAUUAGCUAGUUGGUGGGGUAAUGGCCCACCAAGGCGACGAUCCGUAGCUGGUCUGAGAGGAUGAUCAGCCACACUGGGACUGAGACACGGCCCAGACUCCUACGGGAGGCAGCAGUAGGGAAUAUUGGACAAUGGGCGCAAGCCUGAUCCAGCCAUGCCGCGUGAGUGACGAAGGCCUUCGGGUUGUAAAGCUCUUUUGGCGGGGACGAUAAUGACGGUACCCGCAGAAUUAGUCCCG